CGCCCGUGGCGCGCCCCGGGCGGGGCGGGGGCACGGGGGGAACGCGAAGAACCUUACCUGGGUUUGACAUGGAUCGGGAGUGCUCAGAGAUGGGUGUGCCUCUUUUGGGGUCGGUUCACAGGUGGUGCAUGGCUGUCGUCAGCUCGUGUCGUGAGAUGUUGGGUUAAGUCCCGCAACGAGCGCAACCCUUGUUCACUGUUGCCAGCACGUUAUGGUGGGGACUCAGUGGAGACCGCCGGGGUCAACUCGGAGGAAGGUGGGGAUGACGUCAAGUCAUCAUGCCCCUUAUGUCCAGGGCUUCACGCAUGCUACAAUGGCUGGUACAGAGAGUGGCGAGCCUGUGAGGGUGAGCGAAUCUCGGAAAGCCGGUCUCAGUUCGGAUUGGGGUCUGCAACUCGACCUCAUGAAGUCGGAGUCGCUAGUAAUCGCAGAUCAGCAACGCUGCGGUGAAUACGUUCCCGGGCCUUGUACACACCG
rnacentral:rRNA from 1 species